GGGGAUCUAGCUCAAGUGGUAGAGCGCUCGCUUCGCAUGCGAGAGGCACGGGGAUCGAUGCCCCGGAUCUCCA
rnacentral:tRNA from 1 species